rnacentral:lncRNA from 10 species
CAUACUCACUCCUGAACUCAGUGUAUAGAACUGGAAUAAAAGUUAGUUGCCCUUGCAGGCUCUGAGUCAGGCUGUCAAGCCCGUAGACCAGCUAUGGGCCAUGUCCUGCCCAGGCAUUCCAGGCAGGAGGAAGAGUUUGAGCAAACUCCAAAAGGGAAGAGGUGGCCAGGCCCUUUUGAAGAACUGCUGGCAGUUCAGUGAGACUGGAAUUUAUUCAUGUGGACAGAGGGAUCCUCCAGGUCUGGAGUAAAAACUGCUUUGGGAUCUCAGGAGCCGAACUGCUGGCUUGUCAUUUAGAUACGUAGUGCCAGACUGCUCUCCAAAAUUUGCCUACCUCUUUGUGACUACUGUACAGAUUUCAGCUCCAGCCCAGCUGGGACACCCAGGGCAGAGAAGGCUGGAAACAGAAGCCAAGGAGGCACCAGCACUUAGGGAUUGAGCAAAAAGAGUGAUUAUGAUGAUGGAGACUAAGAAGAGAGGAGUCCUAAAGACAGGGGGAAAAUGAUGAAAGACUGUAGCGAGACAAGACCGUGUUAACAGGGGUGCGGAGUCAGACACGCAUGAGUGGAACCCCAGCUCUGCCACCAUCUAGCUAUGUGACUCUGAGUUCCUUAUCUACACUCAGGCUCACUUUCCUCACGAGUAAACUUGUACAUCAUGAGUCCCUACUUUGACAGGUUGUAACUCAGCUCUGCAUCCAGAACAUCAUAAACACUCAGUAAAUAUGAG